rnacentral:rRNA from 1 species
UACCUGCAGCCCGAGUGGUGGUCGAUUUUAUUGAGUCUAAAGCGUUCGUAGCCGGUCCGUUAAAUCCUUGGGUAAAUCGGGAAGCUCAACUUUCCGACUUCCGAGGAGACUGGCGGACUUGGGACCGGGAGAGGCCAGAGGUACUUCUGGGGUAGGGGUAAAAUCCUGUAAUCCUAGAAGGACCACCGGUGGCGAAGGCGUCUGGCUAGAACGGAUCCGACGGUGAGGGACGAAGCCCUGGGUCG